AUUGAACGCUGGCGGCAUGCCUUACACAUGCAAGUCGAACGGUAACAGGUCUUCGGAUGCUGACGAGUGGCGAACGGGUGAGUAAUGCAUCGGAACGUGCCUAGUAGUGGGGGAUAACUACUCGAAAGAGUGGCUAAUACCGCAUGAGAUCUACGGAUGAAAGCAGGGGAUCGCAAGACCUUGUGCUACUAGAGCGGCCGAUGGCAGAUUAGGUAGUUGGUGGGAUAAAAGCUUACCAAGCCGACGAUCUGUAGCUGGUCUGAGAGGACGAUCAGCCACACUGGGACUGAGGCACGGCCCAGACUCCUACGGGAGGCAGCAGUGGGGAAUUUUGGACAAUGGGCGAAAGCCUGAUCCAGCAAUGCCGCGUGCAGGAUGAAGGCCUUCGGGUUGUAAACUGCUUUUGUACGGAACGAAAAGCCCCGGGUUAAUACCCUGGGGUCAUGACGGUACCGUAAGAAUAAGCACCGGCUAACUACGUGCCAGCAGCCGCCGUAA
rnacentral:rRNA from 1 species